rnacentral:rRNA from 1 species
CAACAGUGCNGAAUAUUGCACAAUGGGNGCAAGCCURAUGCAGCGACGCCGCGUGAGGGAUGACGGCCUUCGGGUUGUAAACCUCUUUCAGUAGGGAAGAAGCGAAAGUGACGGUACCUGCAGAACAAGCGCCGGCUAACUACGUGCCAGCAGCCGCGGUAAUACGUAGGGCGCAAGCGUUAUCCGGAAUUAUUGGGCGUAAAGAGCUCGUAGGCGGUUUGUCGCGUCUGCCGUGAAAGCCCGGGGCUCAACUCCGGAUCUGCGGUGGGUACGGGCAGACUAGAGUGAUGUAGGGGAGACUGGAAUUCCUGGUGUAGCGGUGAAAUGCGCAGAUAUCAGGAGGAACACCGAUGGCGAAGGCAGGUCUCUGGGCAUUAACUGACGCUGAGGAGCGAAAGCSUGCGGANCGAACAGGAUUCCAUGCCCGG